CCAUGCUUUCCCCUCACUCCUGCCUCCCAGCUGACCUUGGUUCUUCCUCUUGUGGCCCUGAAUGCUGUAGUGUGUGCUCCUUCCUUCUGGGAACUAAGCCGAGGAGAAAACAUGAACAAAAAUUGGUGAAGGCCAUCAUCGGACCUAGUAGUUGCAUCCUGUUCAGCACCACAGACAGCUCCCUCGCAAAUGCCGUUCUUUCAAAAGGGAGUCACAGAUGUGCCUACUAGGAAUCAUAUUACACUGAAACUCCCACCACACCCAAGCGGCUUUUCUGGUCCUCUCCUUCGUCGUCAGUCUGUACCAGCUGCUUCUCCUCACCUUGCCCUGGAGUUCUUUCCAUGAAUCUCUUGGUCCAGCAGAAAAGCCGGCACCCAAAGGAAGUCCGGAUACAUGCCGGGCAGUGGACAAAGCCAUGACCUGACAUGGACUUGAAGCAGUUCCCAGGUUGCUUCCCAGAGUCUGUCUUUGGAGAUGGCAGCGAUGACAAGAAAUGGGGCCAGGAGUGUCUCAGCCGUUUGUGUUUGGCCCAGUGAGUUUGUUGACAAAUGAUAAGGCACAAUGGGGUAAAGUCACAAACCAUCCUUAAA